rnacentral:rRNA from 1 species
CUGGUAGUCCACGCCCUAAACGAUGCUGACUAGUUGUUCGGGAAUUUAUUCCUGAGUAACGUAGCUAACGCGUGAAGUCAGCCGCCUGGGGAGUACGGUCGCAAGAUUAAAACUCAAAGGAAUUGACGGGGACCCGCACAAGCGGUGGAUGAUGUGGAUUAAUUCGAUGCAACGCGAAAAACCUUACCUACCCUUGACAUGCCACUAACGAAGUAGAGAUACAUUAGGUGCCCGUAAGGGAAAGUGGACACAGGUGCUGCAUGGCUGUCGUCAGCUCGUGUCGUGAGAUGUUGGGUUAAGUCCCGCAACGAGCGCAACCCUUGUCUUUAGUUGCUACGCAAGAGCACUCUAAAGAGACUGCCGGUGACAAACCGGAGGAAGGUGGGGAUGACGUCAAGUCCUCAUGGCCCUUAUGGGUAGGGCUUCACACGUCAUACAAUGGUGCAUACAGAGGGUUGCCAACCCGCGAGGGGGAGCUAAUCUCAGAAAAUGCAUCGUAGUCCGGAUCGUAGUCUGCAACUCGACUACGUGAAGCUGGAAUCGCUAGUAAUCGCGGAUCAGAAUGUCGCGGUGAAUACGUUCCCGGGUCUUGUACACACCGCCCGUCACACCAUGGGAGUGGGUUUUGCCAGAAGCCGUUAGCCUAACC